rnacentral:rRNA from 1 species
ACUUAAAUUGAAGAGUUUGAUCAUGGCUCAGAUUGAACGCUGGCGGCAGGCCUAACACAUGCAAGUCGAGCGGUAGCACAGAGAGCUUGCUCUCGGGUGACGAGCGGCGGACGGGUGAGUAAUGUCUGGGAAACUGCCUGAUGGAGGGGGGUAACUACUGGAAACGGUAGCUAAUACCGCAUAACGUCGCAAGACCAAAGUGGGGGACCUUCGGGCCUCAUGCCAUCAGAUGUGCCCAGAUGGGAUUAGCUAGUAGGUGGGGUAACGGCUCACCUAGGCGACGAUCCCUAGCUGGUCUGAGAGGAUGACCAGCCACACUGGAACUGAGACACGGUCCAGACUCCUACGGGAGGCAGCAGUGGGGAAUAUUGC